AUUUGGCAAAUGCCAGUAUUCGUCGUCACAUUUCUGGAUGUGUGCAUACAGCUAUUACAUUGAACCGAGACAUCGAUCUGCAUCAUGUGCGAAUGGAUCGGCGGGCAGGAUACGAUGAAUGCUAACAGGACUGUCACCUUGAUAGUGAAGUCAUAGAUCAAGGAGAAAAACCACAUGCCAAGAACACGAUCCGGUAAUACCGGUCACAGACAAUGCAAAGAUGAAGCAACAGGGAUGAGCGAAACCAUUAGACCCGGUAAAAGUAAUCAUGGUCAAUCUUCCACAACAGAUGAAGCUACAAGAAAAAUGCUGAGGUGAGGACAAGAUAUGUCCCUAAAUCCCUGGAAAGAAGAACAGCUGCUUUAGUAAGGUUGAUUUUCUCUCGAUGAUCUGAGGACUGUGAUCCCUUGAUGUCAGGCGCUCAACGUCGAAUGCAACCUACAAAGGCACAUU
rnacentral:misc_RNA from 1 species